rnacentral:SRP_RNA from 1 species
GCCGGGAGUCGUAAGCUACUACUCCUGUAAUCCAACUACUUAGAGGCUAGGUAAAGAGGAUGUUAAGGGGGGGGGGGGGAAGUUCUGGGUUUGGAUUUUCCACGUUGACCCAAAGUCACCGAGUUGAGAGUCGUGAAAUCCAGAAGGUGGGAGUUCAAUUUCGGCUCGUUCAAACAAGAACAGACCUGUGCCUAC